rnacentral:rRNA from 1 species
UACAGAGGGUGCAAGCGUUAAUCGGAAUUACUGGGCGUAAAGGGUGCGUAGGUGGUUGAAUAAGUUAGGUGUGAAAGUCCCGGGCUUAACCUGGGGAUUGCGCCUGAUACUGUUUAGCUAGAGUACUGUAGAGGAAGGUGGAAUUUCCGGUGUAGCGGUGAAAUGCGUAGAUAUCGGAAGGAACAUCAGUGGCGAAGGCGACUUUCUGGACAGAUACUGACACUGAGGCACGAAAGCGUGGGGAGCAAACAGG